GGUUUUGCUCCAGUGUUUGGGUUUCUUUGCGGCUGCUCAAGAUCAACCAGUUCUUCGGGGAAGCGAACCCCAAGGCUCCACCGCCCAGCCUGACUGACUGCAUUGGCACGGUGGACAGCAGGGCAGAAUCCAUUGACAAGAAGAUUUCUCGAUUGGAUGCUGAGCUAGUAAAGUAUAAGGAUCAGAUCAAGAAGAUGAGAGAGGGUCCUGCAAAGAAUAUGGUUAAGCAGAAAGCAGAAAGCCUUGCAAGUUUUAAAGUAAAAGUGGAUGUAUGAGCAGCAGCAGGGCAAUCUUGAACAACAGCCAUUCAACAUGUAACAAGCCAAUUAUACCAUCCAGUCAUUGAAGGACACCAAGACCACGGUUGAUGCUAUGAAACUGGGAGUAAAGGAAAUGAAGAAGGCAUACAAGCAAGUGAAAAUCAACCAGAUUGAGGAUUUACAAAUCCACCUAGAGGAUAUGAUGGAAGAUGCAAAUGAAAUCCAAGAAGCACUGAGUCGCAGUUAUGGCACCCCGGAACUGGAUGAAGAUGACCUGCAAUUCCGGAAGGUGUUCCCACUGACACAAAAAACAAGGAUGAAGUUCUUCUGGUGGAUGAAUUUGGAUUGCCACAGAUCCCUGCUUCAUAGAUCAGCAU